CGAGAAAACAAGAGGAUAAGAACUAAAAAGGAAAAGAGGAGUUUUUAGAUAAGAAGAAAAGGAAAUGUGGAAAGAAGAAAAAAAGUGAGAAAGAGGAAGAGAAAGAGAAGAAAAAAAAGAAAGAGGUAAAGAAGAGAAAAGAGGAAGGAAGGAAGAAGAGAUUCAUCAUCUCUAUUAUAUCAUCAUCAUCUUCACAAAUUUCAUCUCAAUUUCAAUUUCUUCAUCAUCACUUUGGAUUAAGGUUUUGGUUGCAGGUUUAGUAUACAAGAAGAGUUGUGCAUUGAUGUUUCAAGGGAUGCAGUUAUUGUGAUUUUUCGUUGUUAAUCUUGUACAAUGACGAAUAUUGUACUUAGAUUUUUAUUUUUGGCACUUUCCAUAUCUUGUACCAUAUGUUGUAUGUUUUUUUGUAUAAUUGGUCAAGUAUGUAAAUGAUGCCAAUAAGCACUUAUGAUUAUGCCAGUACCAAAUAAUAACACUUGUAUGAUAUUAUUCUAAAUAUAUAUUAUACGGAUCGUUACAGUUGGUAUCA